rnacentral:rRNA from 1 species
ACAGUGUCUGGUGGGUAGUUUGACUGGGGCGGUCUCCUCCUAAAGAGUAACGGAGGAGCACGAAGGUUGGCUAAUCCUGGUCGGACAUCAGGAGGUUAGUGCAAUGGCAUAAGCCAGCUUGACUGCGAGCGUGACGGCGCGAGCAGGUGCGAAAGCAGGUCAUAGUGAUCCGGUGGUUCUGAAUGGAAGGGCCAUCGCUCAACGGAUAAAAGGUACUCCGGGGAUAACAGGCUGAUACCGCCCAAGAGUUCAUAUCGACGGCGGUGUUUGGCACCUCGAUGUCGGCUCAUCACAUCCUGGGGCUGAAGUAGGUCCCAAGGGUAUGGCUGUUCGCCAUUUAAAGUGGUACGCGAGCUGGGUUUAGAACGUCGUGAGACAGUUCGGUCCCUAUCUGCCGUGGGCGCUGGAGAACUGAGGGGGGCUGCUCCUAGUACG